rnacentral:tRNA from 1 species
GUCCCCGGAGUGUGACGGAACAUCGCACACGACCUUGCGAAGGUCGGAGACCAGGUUCGACUCCUGGCGGGGGCA